UCAGGCAGGAUCAGAUUCCCCAUUGGACCCCUGGGCCUCUCACCCAGGACCCCAAGUGCAUAUCUUUGAAGGCUUUGUCUUCAGCGCUGACUCCUUGAUCGAGGACCCAUUGGUGAGUCCAACUCCUCAGCCAACACUCCUGACAACACUCUGCUGAAGCAUGGGCAUGUUCCGCAGCCCAGGCAUGGAGUGAUCACCGAGUUACUUCUGGGCAACAGCAGGCAAACAGUCAGGAGAGAUUCUGGAAAAGCCCUGAUGAACCCAUGCUCUUUGGGAACAGAGGCCAAGGCCAACCCCGAGUCCAGGAGCGCCAAGAGGACCCAUGUAGCAACUGGCAAGGACAGCAGCCCAACACCAAGGUCUCUUCUAGGGUGUACCCUGAGGGGGGACCUGGUGGCCACACAGGGGGCUCUGCAGAGUUCCAGUGCCACACAAUCACAGGAGGCUGAUUUGAAGGGGGAAUUACAGGGGCGAGGCAGCGUGAAAGGUGCAUGAGGAAGUCAAAGUAAAUCAUCCAGUUGACACAAACCUCCACUCGGCACAGUCCUGUGGGGACUCCAGCUGAAAGAGCAAUUGCAUGAGACUCCUCAACACAUGGCUCACAAUGCUGCCCACGUCACUGACAUCCAACCAACCUGCAGGAUACGGAGAGCAAAGAAGCAUAUUUUUAUAGGCCAAGCCUGAAAGUGUUUACAUCACUUUUGCCCACAUUCUAACAGCCAGAACUCGUCACAUGGCCCAAAUUGGAUGCAAAUGUUCCUGAGCAAUGUUACCCUGGCUGAGCAUCCACUUCCCAGCAACACAGAAGGGAGCAGAGUUCUUUGGUGGACAACCAACCCUCUGCCACACAUCUCGAUGACACUAUAGAUGCUCUCCAUCACCAGACCUAUGGGAUAGUGCCAUGGAGGUCAGAUUGAGCCCAGUCUCACCAGAUCCAGGCUUUGCUGUCUUUGUCUGCAUUAUAUUUAGUUUGCAGCAGUGCUAUGGAGCUGGGAUAUGGUCCCUCCCAUGAUGACAUGGCACAAAUGAAGGAGGUUGUGUGCUGGCCCAGCUUGCAUCCUAGCACAAUGGUGUUUCAUGUUUCCAGUGUUCUUUCCUCUGGGUUCUCCCAUAUGUGCGAGGACUUUAUGAAAGAGGGGAGUGUUCCUUCUGUCCUCAUUGACAGACGGACACGUUGGCAUGGUUGGUGCCUACAGGCCAACUUUGGGAAGCCAGCACCAGGCAUCAAGAUUUGCUACGGGGCUAGGCUCUGGCCAGGAUCUCACUUAGUAAUAAAUACUAGCCGCUUUUGUUCUUCUGUGAGCAGCUACUAAUGAUAUAAUGCCCAGGGCAAACAGGCCUGUGCAAAAACCUGUUCAUUUGCAUAAGAAAUUGGCCCGCUCUGUGGGCCCAACACCCUCCUAUGUAGAUCUAGAUUAUUUUUAAGUAAUGGCAAUGUAAACCACCAUUUAUUAUUAUCCCAUUAUACUAGGCACUGUACGAAGUACAGUGCAGCCUUUUAUCUAUACUAGUAACUGUUCUGUAAAGUGACGUUAUUGGUUUUGUUUUAAAAUGAGAUACCUCAGCAAGCUUAAGUAGGUUGUUCAAAGUAAAUGAUGAGUGGCUGAGCUGAAAUUCAAGUCUAGAACUUCAGAACUCUAAAAUGCAGUCUCCUUCCGCCACGCUAUACGAUGAGUACCAGCAGCUCCCCGCUCUCACACCAUGAGGUACUUAUCGCCCUCUUCCAAGAGCAAUGCUUAGCACACACAAGGCAAACACCAAUCCGUUCAUCCUUCCUGGGCAAGACUCACCCACAGAAGGCCUCUCAGACUGCUCGGGGCCAGCCUGGGGCCUUCACCUAUAGAGUAACCCCCGCAUACAGGAAGUUUGAUGACAAUGGAUUCAUUGCAAAGUGAGUGUUCAUUGUACAAAACUGUACAACAAUAGCAUAUGAUCUGCGGCCACACCCACUCCUUUUCAACCACACAAAGGGUGAGCCACAGAGACACAGCAGCUGCUUUGGAUCAUUGUGUGAUUCUCAAUGUCAUCAUUACAAGACCCACUUCUCCUCAUCUGCUUCUUCACCAUUAACAGGUGUCCCUCCUCUGUCUCUAGAGAUGUUACAAAAGCAGCACUGAUUCAAAGAGCGACCAAGUGGUCACCCAGACAGCCUUUUUGCCAAGCCAUGGAAUACUUUAAAAGAUAGUUACUGAAGCCAAGAAUCCAUAUCACUUAGCACCUUCUCUGAUGGAACACUUUGUGUGUUUCUUUGGAGACUUUAAGCAAAGGCAGAGCAUUUUGGUGUUGGGGAUCACAAGAAAGAAAAGAACUCUGCACACUCCCUUCGCGCCAUAAUUAAAAUAAUGACUUCAUUUAUUGGAGUACUUAAGAUUGCCAGGCACUGUGCUGAAUGAUUUACACACAUUGUCCUAUUCAAUCUUCACAAUGAUCCCACAAAGACUGUAAUAUUAUUAUUUCCAUCUUACAGAAGAAAAAAACCCCAGUCAGAUUAAGUAAGUUCAUCACAAAGGACAGCAGUGAACUCCAGCCCAGGUCUAUCUGACUGUCCCUUUCCUUGAACCAGCCUGCCUGGAGGUCCCAGAGCUGUCUGUGAAGAAUACCUGCCAGAAGGAAAUCCUGGCGUGGAGUGGAAAGACUUUCCAGUGCUGUGUGGCAGUGCUUUUGUUGUGCAAUUACAAGAAAGGGAACACAGUGUUCUGAAAUUGCACAAGGAAUGUAAACAAGACAAAUGGAAUCUCAGAACUGGUGCUAAUCCCCUGCUGGAAGUUGUUUCCAGAAAAAAGUCUUUUGUGUAGCAUUUGACUAGAUGGAUUGGCCCCCAAAAUGCUGGGGGAAAAAGUGCUGAGAGCAAUGGCUGAGUUUUGCAAAGGUGUAGGCACUUAAGGAGUUUUAUUUCUUCCUAAGUAAAUGUUUUCCUUGCUUAUACCAGACCUCAAAUGUAUGCUGAACUAUUUAAGAAUUCCAAGGAAGACUAGAAUUAGCCUUUAUGAGGAAAAUCCCAAAGCCAGCAUUUGUUGAUGAAAGUAACUUCAAAAUGUGUGAUGGAAUGAUCUUGGCACUUCAUAGUGAACCCCAAUACUACCCCACUUAAGAUUGGUAAUGGCUUAUGGGGACAGCCCUGGGAUAGUUAUGUGAAGGACCCCUUCCACGCAUCCCUUCAUAUACAAUAAAUAAAUAGAUCAAGGUCAUGAACUCCCAAGAAUUGCUUCAUUGCUUCAAAUGAAAACUCUUACAUGUAAAAGUACAUACAUGUUUUUAUUUGUAGCUGAAGCUUUAGGAACUAAUAGUACAAAUGAGUUCAUAAGAUGUAACCACUUAUUGAGCAUUUACGAUUUGUCAGGUCCUACACAUAGUAUCUUAUUUAAUGUUUAAUGUUGACAAUACCCUGUGAGUUUGUGGACAAAAUAAUUCUCAUGUCCAUGCUACAGACAAGGAAACUAAAAUCUGGAGAAGUUAAAUGAUUUUCCCAACAUCAAAUGACAAAAAUAAAACAAUAACAAGU